UACAGAGGUCUCAAGCGUUGUUCGGAUUCAUUGGGCGUAAAGGGCGCGUAGGCGGGAUGGCAAGUCGGUCGUGAAAUCCCUCGGCUCAACUGAGGAGCGUCGAUCGAAACUGCCGUUCUUGAGGGUUGCAGAGGAGACUGGAAUUCCCGGUGUAGCGGUGAAAUGUGUAGAGAUCGGGAGGAACACCGGUGGCGAAGGCGGGUCUCUGGGCAACUCCUGACGCUGAGGCGCGAAAGCGUGGGGAGCAAACGGG
rnacentral:rRNA from 1 species